GCUCAACCGAAGAAGUGCAUCGGAAACUGGGAAACUUGAGUGCAGAAGAGGACAGUGGAACUCCAUGUGUAGCGGUGAAAUGCGUAGAUAUAUGGAAGAACACCAGUGGCGAAGGCGGCUGUCUGGUCUGUAACUGACGCUGAGGCUCGAAAGUAUGGGUAGCAAACAGGAUUAGAUACCCUGGUAGUCCAUACCGUAAACGAUGAAUGCUAAGUGUUGGAGGGUUUCCGCCCUUCAGUGCUGCAGCUAACGCAUUAAGCAUUCCGCCUGGGGAGUACGGCCGCAAGGCUGAAACUCAAAGGAAUUGACGGGGGCCCGCACAAGCGGUGGAGCAUGUGGUUUAAUUCGAAGCUACGCGAAGAACCUUACCAGGUCUUGACAUACUAUGCAAAUCUAAGAGAUUAGACGUUCCCUUCGGGGACAUGGAUACAGGUGGUGCAUGGUUGUCGUCAGCUCGUGUCGUGAGAUGUUGGGUUAAGUCCCGCAACGAGCGCAACCCUUAUUAUCAGUUGCCAGCAUUAAGUUGGGCACUCUGGUGAGACUGCCGGUGACAAACCGGAGGAAGGUGGGGAUGACGUCAAAUCAUCAUGCCCCUUAUGACCUGGGCUACACACGUGCUACAAUGGAUGGUACAACG
rnacentral:rRNA from 1 species